CCUAGUUGCCAGCAUUCAGUUGGGCACUCUGGGAAAACUGCCGGUGGAUUAAGCCGGAGGAAGGUGUGGAUGACGUCAAGUCCUCAUGGCCCUUACGGGUUGGGCUACACACGUGCUACAAUGGCAGUGACAAUGGGUUAAUCCCCAAAAGCUGUCUCAGUUCGGAUUGGGGUCUGCAACUCGACCCCAUGAAGUCGGAAUCGCUAGUAAUCGCGGAUCAGCCAUGCCGCGGUGAAUACGUUCCCGGGCCUU
rnacentral:rRNA from 1 species